UGGAGCAGUUAUUGGAUGGUCAUUUCAACAUUACCAGUGACAGUGCUGCUGCUGCUACACCAUCUAGCAGGGACAGGUGGAGAGCCCUUCAAUUGCAUUCAAACCCGGGAGUCUAUGCAUGGGGCCAAAGAGGGUUAGAUGCUGUUAUUACAGAUCUGUUAGGACGAUUUGAUAAUGCAGGACCACCUCCAGCAGACAAGGAUUCAAUUUCAUCCCUCCCAACAGUCUGCAUCUCUAAAGAACAUACAGACAGCCGACUAGAGUGCUCAGUCUGCAGGGAGGAGUAUUCUGUGGGUGAAUGGGUCAGGCAACUGCCAUGUCUGCAUUACUUCCAUAGUGACUGUAUAGUGCCAUGGCUGAAGCUGCACGAUACCUGCCCGUAUGUCGCAAAAGCCUUAGCGGUGUGGACCAC